AUUGAACGCUGGCGGCAGGCCUAACACAUGCAAGUCGAACGAGUGGCGGACGGGUGAGUAAUGUCUGAGAAACUGCCCGAUGGCGGGGGGUAACUACUGGAAAAGGUAGCUAAUACCGCAUACCAUCGGAUGUGCCCAGACUGGAUUAGCUAGUAGGUAGGGUAACGGCUCACCUAGGCGACGAUCCCUAGCCGGUCUGAGAGGAUGAGCAGCCACACUGGAACUGAGACACGGUCCCGACUCCUACGGGGGGCAGCAGUGGGGAAUAUUGCACAAUGGGCGCAAGCCUGAUGCAGCCAUGCCGCGUGUAUGUAGAAGGCCUUCGGGUUGUAAAGUACUUUCAGCGAGGAGGCGUUACUCGCAGAAGAAGCCCCGGCUAACUCCGUGCCAGCAGCCGCGGUAAUAC
rnacentral:rRNA from 1 species